GAAACGACUGCUAAGACUGGAUAGGAAGAUAAAAGGCAUCUUGUAUCUUUUAAAAGACCUAGUUAAUAGGUAUGCUUUAGGAGGGGCUUGCGCCAUAUUAGUUAGUUGGUAGGGUAAUGGCCUACCAAGACGAUGAUGUGUAGCUGGACUGAGAGGUUGAACAGCCACAUUGGGACUGAGACACGGCCCAAACUCCUACGGGAGGCAGCAGUAGGGAAUUUUCGGCAGUGGAGGAAACUCUGACCGAGCAACGCCGCGUGAAUGACGAAGUACUUCGGUAUGUAAAGUUCUUUUAUCGAGGAAGAAAAGCAAAUGGCGAACCAUUUGUUUGCCGGUACUUGAUGAAUAAGCCCCGGCUAAUUAUGUGCCAGCAGCCGCGGUAAGACAUAAGGGGCAAGUGUUAUCCGGAAUUAUUGGGCGUAAAGGGUGCGUAGGCGGUCUAGUAAGUCAGUGGUGUAAUGUCAACGCUUAACGUUGUCCGGCUAUUGAAACUGCUAAACUUGAGUUAGAUAGAGGCGAGUGGAAUUCCAUGUGUAGCGGUAAAAUGCGUAAAUAUAUGGAGGAACACCAGAGGCGUAGGCGGCUCGCUGGGUCUUAACUGACGCUGAGGCACGAAAGCGUGGGGAGCAAACAGGAUUAGAUACCCUGGUAGUCCACGCCGUAAACGAUGAGUACUAAGUGUCGGGUUAAACCGGUACUGAAGUUAACACAUUAAGUACUCCGCCUGAGUAGUACGUACGCAAGUAUGAAACUUAAAGGAAUUGACGGGACUCCGCACAAGCGGUGGAUCAUGUUGUUUAAUUCGAAGAUACCCGAAAAACCUUACCAGGUCUUGACAUGUUUUUGCAAAAUGAUAGUAAUAUCGUGGAGGUUACCAGAAACACAGGUGGUGCGUGGUUGUCGUCAGCUCGUGGCGUGAGAUGUUAGGUUAAGUCCUAAAACGAGCGAAACCCUUAUCGUUAGUUGCCAGCACGUUAUGGUGGGGACUUUAACGAGACUGCCAAUGAUAAAUUGGAGGAAGGUGAGGAUCACGUCAAAUCAGCAUGCCCCUUAUGACCUGGGCUACAAACGUGAUACAAUGGCUGCUACAAAGGGUAGCUGAAACGCAAGUUCUUGGCCAAUCCCCAAAAACAGUCCCAGUCCGGAUUGAAGUCUGCAACUCGACUUCAUGAAGUUGGAAUCGCUAGUAAUCGCGAAUCAGCAUGUCGCGGUGAAUACGUUCACGGGGUUUGUACACACCGCCCGUCA
rnacentral:rRNA from 1 species